rnacentral:rRNA from 1 species
ACUGCUCAGUAACACGUAGUCAACAUGCCCAGGGGACGUGGAUAACCUCGGGAAACUGAGGAUAAACCGCGAUAGGCCAUAAUUCCUGGAAUGGUUUAUGACUGAAACCUAUAUGGCCCCUGGAUUGGACUGCGGCCGAUCAGGCUGUUGGUGAGGUAAUGGCCCACCAAACCUGUAACCGGUACGGGCUCUGAGAGGAGAAGCCCGGAGAUGGGCACUGAGACAAGGGCCCAGGCCCUAUGGGGCGCAGCAGGCGCGAAACCUCUGCAAUAGGCGAAAGCCUGACAGGGCUACUCUGAGUGGUUCCCGCUAAGGGGAUCUUUUGGCACCUCUA